AGAGUUUGAUCCUGGCUCAGGACGAACGCUGGCGGCGCGCCUAACACAUGCAAGUCGAACGAGCGAGAGAGAGCUUGCUUUCUCGAGCGAGUGGCGAACGGGUGAGUAACGCGUGAGGAACCUGCCUCAAAGAGGGGGACAACAGUUGGAAACGACUGCUAAUACCGCAUAAGCCCACGACCCGGCAUCGGGUAGAGGGAAAAGGAGAAAUCCGCUUUGAGAUGGCCUCGCGUCCGAUUAGCUAGUUGGUGAGGUAACGGCCCACCAAGGCGACGAUCGGUAGCCGGACUGAGAGGUUGAACGGCCACAUUGGGACUGAGACACGGCCCAGACUCCUACGGGAGGCAGCAGUGGGGAAUAUUGCACAAUGGGGGAAACCCUGAUGCAGCGACGCCGCGUGGAGGAAGAAGGUCUUCGGAUUGUAAACUCCUGUUGUUGAGGAAGAUAAUGACGGUACUCAACAAGGAAGUGACGGCUAACUACGUGCCAGCAGCCGCGGUAAAACGUAGGUCACAAGCGUUGUCCGGAAUUACUGGGUGUAAAGGGAGCGCAGGCGGGAAGGCAAGUUGGAAGUGAAAUCCAUGGGCUCAACCCAUGAACUGCUUUCAAAACUGUUUUUCUUGAGUAGUGCAGAGGUAGGCGGAAUUCCCGGUGUAGCGGUGGAAUGCGUAGAUAUCGGGAGGAACACCAGUGGCGAAGGCGGCCUACUGGGCACCAACUGACGCUGAGGCUCGAAAGUGUGGGUAGCAAACAGGAUUAGAUACCCUGGUAGUCCACACUGUAAACGAUGAUUACUAGGUGUUGGAGGAUUGACUCCUUCAGUGCCGCAGUUAACACAAUAAGUAAUCCACCUGGGGAGUACGACCGCAAGGUUGAAACUCAAAGGAAUUGACGGGGGCCCGCACAAGCAGUGGAGUAUGUGGUUUAAUUCGACGCAACGCGAAGAACCUUACCAAGUCUUGACAUCCUGCGACGCACAUAGAAAUAUGUGUUUCCUUCGGGACGCAGAGACAGGUGGUGCAUGGUUGUCGUCAGCUCGUGUCGUGAGAUGUUGGGUUAAGUCCCGCAACGAGCGCAACCCUUAUGGUCAGUUACUACGCAAGAGGACUCUGGCCAGACUGCCGUUGACAAAACGGAGGAAGGUGGGGAUGACGUCAAAUCAUCAUGCCCCUUAUGACUUGGGCUACACACGUGCUACAAUGGCGUAAACAAAGGGAAGCGGAGCCGUGAGGCCGAGCAAAUCUCAAAAAUAACGUCUCAGUUCGGACUGUAGUCUGCAACCCGACUACACGAAGCUGGAAUCGCUAGUAAUCGCAGAUCAGAAUGCUGCGGUGAAUACGUUCCCGGGUCUUGUACACACCGCCCGUCACACCAUGGGAGUUGGAAAUGCCCGAAGUCAGUGACCCAACCGCAAGGAGGGAGCUGCCGAAGGCAGGUUCGAUAACUGGGGUGAAGUCGUAACAAGGUA
rnacentral:rRNA from 1 species